rnacentral:tRNA from 1 species
UGGUUCAGUAGUUAAAAUUUUAUAACAACGGAUUGCAAAUCUGGAGUUGCAGUAGUCUGAGCUUUAAAUU